rnacentral:lncRNA from 1 species
UGCCACUGCAGUCCAGCCUGGGCAACAGAGCCAGACUCUGUCUCAAACAUCAAUAAAUAAAUAAAAUGGCAGUGUUUCCAAUGCACUUGGAAUCACAUCUCCAACUAUAUUUGAUUUAAAAAACCUUAGAUGUCAACUUUUAAAAUGGGAAAGGCAAACAUGAACAGUGUUUGAAAGCCUCUUUCUAGCACACCUGUGCACUCUGCUGGCCCCCACCAGUUGUAGGACAACCACGACUACAGUGUUAGCUGCACAUCUGCUCACGCCACUUGCAUUGGUUAAUGUAAUCAUCCUGCUGCAUUUAAAAUUACGUAAUAAACUGCAAAAAUAGAGCUGUUAAGAGAGUUAUUUCUAGGAAAACUAGUUGAAUGCUUGGGAAAGACAUACUGAGUCACUAAAUAUAAUUUGGUUAAAUUAGGUGUAGGUGUAAAAGAUGGGGGAAGACUGCUUCACAUGUUUCUUUUCCUAAGUUCUUGCUCUCCUUUAAAAGAAAAAAAAAAAACAGACAAAUAUCAAAAACCAGAAGUUGUAAUCCAGUGUUUGCCAAGGUUUCUUGGUAAGAAUUACCUGGGUCAUUUGCUAACUACACAGAUAAACAGGCAUCUUCCCCCUAGAAAUUCUGAUUCAGGAAGUCUAGGUGGGGGCCUUGGGAUCUGAUUUUCCUGGUUGUCUGUUUUGUUUUAUAAAAUAAGGGCUGGAGUCAUUCGUAUCUUCAGGGGUAUUUGGGGAACACGAGGAAGAUUAUGGAUACGACAAGAAAGUCUUGUUUUCAGUGGCUUUUUGAAUGAACAGACCAACUAAGCCCUGACUGCAUGGACUAGGAGGGCUUCCCUACCCGCCCUUGACAGCACAGCCAGGGAGAGCGCUGGACUUCCCUAACACACACGGUCAACUAUCGCUUCAAAGCAGUGACCUCUUCACACCCUAGAUAGGUAGCAGGCCCAAUGUGGCCCAAAGGCUGCUGUUUGCUCACUCCUGGGUCUAGAAGAAAACAUACUAAACUGCUAACGGUAACUAUUUCUGGAUAGCAGAACUAUGGGCGAUUUCUAAUUUCCUCUUUAUAAUGUGAUAAUUUUUGCAUGUUCUCAAUUAAAUUUAAUCAUAAGCAUGUAUUAUUUAAAAAACCAAUAGCAUGUUCUUUUCUUUGUUUUUGGUGGGGCUGGGGGAGGAGGCUUUGAGAUGCCCAAGACAUGCAUGGUUUCCUAUUUUAAUACAAAUUCUUAUUCAUUGUUUCUCAGUUUUUCUAUAGGAUACCACAAAGACCUCUCAACAUACAUUUGAAGGAAAGGAAGAAAUGGAGGGAGGAGAGAAGGCGGGAAGGAAAGAAGCAAGGGAGGGAGGAAGGAAAAGAGGAGAGGGGGAAGGAAAAAAUAACAAACUCCAGUCCUGUCCUGGGGUUAGGGAAGGGCAUGACCCACCA